UAUAGCUCAGUGGUAGAGCGCAUGCCUAGCAUGCCUGAGGUCUUGGGUUCAAUCCCCAAUA
rnacentral:tRNA from 1 species